UACUGCGAAGGGGGGACGGAGAAGGCUAUGUUGGCCGGGCGACGGUUGUCCCGGUUUAAGCGUGUAGGUGUGUGUUCCAGGUAAAUCCGGUUCACUUUAACACUGAGGCGUGACGACGAGGCACUACGGUGCUGAAGCAACAAAUGCCCUGCUUCCAGGAAAAGCCUCUAAGCAUCAGGUAACACGAAAUCGUACCCCAAACCGACACAGGUGGUCAGGUAGAGAAUACCAAGGCGCUUGAGAGAACUCGGGUGAAGGAACUAGGCAAAAUGGUGCCGUAACUUCGGGAGAAGGCACGCUGACACGUAGGUGAAGUGAUUUACUCAUGGAGCUGAAGUCAGUCGAAGAUACCAGCUGGCUGCAACUGUUUAUUAAAAACACAGCACUGUGCAAACACGAAAGUGGACGUAUACGGUGUGACGCCUGCCCGGUGCCGGAAGGUUAAUUGAUGGGGUCAGCGUAAGCGAAGCUCCUGAUCGAAGCCCCGGUAAACGGCGGCCGUAACUAUAACGGUCCUAAGGUAGCGAAAUUCCUUGUCGGGUAAGUUCCGACCUGCACGAAUGGCGUAAUGAUGGCCAGGCUGUCUCCACCCGAGACUCAGUGAAAUUGAACUCGCUGUGAAGAUGCAGUGUACCCGCGGCAAGACGGAAAGACCCCGUGAACCUUUACUAUAGCUUGACACUGAACAUUGAGCCUUGAUGUGUAGGAUAGGUGGGAGGCUUUGAAGUGUGGACGCCAGUCUGCAUGGAGCCGACCUUGAAAUACCACCCUUUAAUGUUUGAUGUUCUAACGUGGACCCGUAAUCCGGGUUGCGGACAGUGUCUGGUGGGUAGUUUGACUGGGGCGGUCUCCUCCUAAAGAGUAACGGAGGAGCACGAAGGUUGGCUAAUCCUGGUCGGACAUCAGGAGGUUAGUGCAAUGGCAUAAGCCAGCUUGACUGCGAGCGUGACGGCGCGAGCAGGUGCGAAAGCAGGUCAUAGUGAUCCGGUGGUUCUGAAUGGAAGGGCCAUCGCUCAACGGAUAAAAGGUACUCCGGGGAUAACAGGCUGAUACCGCCCAAGAGUUCAUAUCGACGGCGGUGUUUGGCACCUCGAUGUCGGCUCAUCACAUCCUGGGGCUGAAGUAGGUCCCAAGGGUAUGGCUGUUCGCCAUUUAAAGUGGUACGCGAGCUGGGUUUAGAACGUCGUGAGACAGUUCGGUCCCUAUCUGCCGUGGGCGCUGGAGAACUGAGGGGGGCUGCUCCUAGUACGAGAGGACCGGAGUGGACGCAUCACUGGUGUUCGGGUUGUCAUGCCAAUGGCACUGCCCGGUAGCUAAAUGCGGAAGAGAUAAGUGCUGAAAGCAUCUAAGCACGAAACUUGCCCCGA
rnacentral:rRNA from 1 species